GUGUCAGCAGCCGCGGUAAUACGGGGGGGGCGAGCGUUGUUCGGAAUCACUGGGCGUAAAGGGCGCGUAGGCGGCCCGCACAAGUCUGCGGUGAAAACCUCCGGCUUAACCGGGGGCCGGCCGUGGAAACUGUCGGGCUGGAGGCUGGGAGAGGGCAGCGGAAUUCCCGGUGUAGCGGUGAAAUGCGUAGAGAUCGGGAGGAACACCGGCGGCGAAGGCGGCUGCCUGGACCAGUCCUGACGCUGAGGCGCGAAAGCUAGGGGAGCAAACAGGAUUAGAAACCCUUGUAGUCC
rnacentral:rRNA from 1 species